CGAGCACGCGCGUGUGGCAUAUCAAUAAGCGGAGGAAAAGAAACUAACAAGGAUUCCCUUAGGUAACGGCGAGUGAAGCGGGAAGAGCUCAAAUUUGAAAUCUUCAAGGUUCUACCUUGACGAAUUGUAGUUUAUAGAAGUGUUUUCUGUUAGUGGAGUGGCAAAAGUUCUUUGGAAUAGGACAUCAUAGAGGGUGAGAAUCCCGUAUUUGGUCAUUCCUCCUAGCGUUGUGAUACACUUUCAACGAGUCGGAUUGUUUGGGAAUGCAGUCCAAAAUGGGUGGUAAAUUUCAUCUAAAGCUAAAUAUUGGCGAGAGACCGAUAGCGAACAAGUACCGUGAGGGAAAGAUGAAAAGAACUUUGAAAAGAGAGUUAAACAGUACGUGAAAUUGUCAAAAGGGAAGCGUUUGACACCAGUGUUGUUUUUCCGAAAAUCAAUUACGAAUGUUUUGUUUUUGAGGAGUUAUGACUUCAUCGGCUUGCUCCUUUCUUUAUGAAACUUUCUUAAUGCACUUUUCGGUUAACAAGUCAACAUCAAUUUCUUUUGUUGUAAAAGGGUAUGAGGAAGGUGGCUUUCUUUUCGGAGAAAGUGUUUAUAGCCUUGUGCCUCUGCAAUCGGAGAGAUUGAGGUCUGCAGCGUAGAUCCUUCGGGGUUAGAUACAGUUUGUGCUAAGUUAUAGCUUUUCAUAGACAACUUGUUGACUAUGUUUAGUCUUGUAGCUUACUCGCUGAUGCUAUUUUACCUACGCUUAGGAUGUUGAACUCUAUCACACACAG
rnacentral:rRNA from 1 species